rnacentral:rRNA from 1 species
AACGAACGCUGGCGGCGUGGAUAAGACAUGCAAGUCGAACGGGAACUUCAGCUGUAGCAAUACAGUUGAAGUUUUAGUGGCGAACGGGUGCGUAACACGUGGGCAAUCUGCCGAGAAGUGGGGGAUAGCUCGCCGAAAGGCGAAUUAAUACCGCAUAUGAUCAGCUAAGACAUCUUAGCGACAUCAAAGCCGGGGCAACCUGGCGCUUUUUGAGGAGCCCGCGGCCUAUCAGCUAGUUGGUGAGGUAACGGCUCACCAAGGCUAUGACGGGUAGCUGGUCUGAGAGGAUGGCCAGCCACAUUGGGACUGAGAAACGGCCCAGACUCCUACGGGAGGCAGCAGUGGGGAAUCUUGCGCAAUGGCCUAACGGCUGACGCAGCGACGCCGCGUGAGGGAUGAAGCUCUUCGGAGUGUAAACCUCUGUUGAUCGGGACGAAUGGCGGAUUUUUCCGACUUGACGGUACCGAUUGAGGAAGCACCGGCUAACUCC